UUGAACCUACGGGGGGCAGCAGUAGGGAAUCUUCCACAAUGGGCGAAAGCCUGAUGGAGCAACGCCGCGUGGGUGAAGAAGGUCUUCGGAUCGUAAACCCCUGUUGUUAGAGAAGAAAGUGCGUGAGAGUAACUGUUCACGUUUCGACGGUAUCUAACCAGAAAGCCACGGCUAACUACGUGCCAGCAGCCGCGGUAAUACGUAGGGGGCAAGCGUUAUCCGGAUUUACUGGGUGUAAAGGGAGCGUAGGCGGCAAGGUAA
rnacentral:rRNA from 1 species